GCGUGGGAACGUGCCCUUUAGUACGGAAUAGCCAUUGGAAACGAUGAUUAAUACCGUAUACGCCCCAAGGGGGAAAGAUUUAUCGCUAAAGGAUCGGCCCGCGUUAGAUUAGGUAGUUGGUAGGGUAACGGCCUACCAAGCCGACGAUCUAUAGCUGGUUUGAGAGGAUGAUCAGCAACACUGGG
rnacentral:rRNA from 1 species